UGGGGAAUUUUGGACAAUGGGCGCAAGCCUGAUCCAGCCAUGCCGCGUGCAGGAUGAAGGCCUUCGGGUUGUAAACUGCUUUUGUACGGAACGAAAAGGUGCCUUCUAAUAAAGGGCGCUCAUGACGGUACCGUAAGAAUAAGCACCGGCUAACUACGUGCCAGCAGCCGCGGUAAUACGUAGGGUGCGAGCGUUAAUCGGACUUACUGGGCGUAAAGCGUGCGCAGGCGGUUUCGUAAGACAGAGGUGAAAUCCCCGGGCUCAACCUGGGAACUGCCUUUGUGACUGCAAGGCUGGAGUGCGGCAGAGGGGGAUGGACUUCCGCGUGUAGCAGUGAAAUGCGUAGAUAUGCGGAGGAACACCGAUGGCGAAGGCAAUCCCCUGGGCCUGCACUGACGCUCAUGCACGAAAGCGUGGGGAGCAAACA
rnacentral:rRNA from 1 species